AUGUUUAAAAAUGGUUAAGAUGGCUUUAUAGUUUCCUUGGCUUUGACACUGUGCUAAAGCAAUUUCUGUUCUUUUCCCAUGCACUGAAGGGAAUUUUCAUCCUCUUUAAAUGUAUUCAGAAAGUUAGCACAUUA
rnacentral:snoRNA from 1 species